rnacentral:rRNA from 1 species
GAUGAACGCUGGCGGCGUGCCUAAUACAUGCAAGUCGAGCGAACGGACGAGAGGCUUGCUUCUCUGAUGUUAGCGGCGGACGGGUGAGUAACACGUGGAUAACCUACCUAUAAGACUGGGAUAACUUCGGGAAACCGGAGCUAAUACCGGAUAAUAUUUUGAACCGCAUGGUUCAAAAGUGAAAGACGGUCUUGCUGUCACUUAUAGAUGGAUCCGCGCUGCAUUAGCUAGUUGGUAAGGUAACGGCUUACCAAGGCAACGAUGCAUAGCCGACCUGAGAGGGUGAUCGGCCACACUGGAACUGAGACACGGUCCAGACUCCUACGGGAGGCAGCAGUAGGGAAUCUUCCGCAAUGGGCGAAAGCCUGACGGAGCAACGCCGCGUGAGUGAUGAAGGUCUUCGGAUCGUAAAACUCUGUUAUUAGGGAAGAACAUAUGUGUAAGUAGCUGUGCACAUCUUGACGGUACCUAAUCAGAAAGCCACGGCUAACUACGUG